GGGAAUGUAGCUCAGUGUGGUAGAGCGUCCGCUUUGCAUGUGAAAGGUCCCGGGUUCGAUCCCCGGUAUCUCCA